CCCGCUCAGAAACUCAAGGAAUUGACGGGGCCCGCACAAGCGGUGGAGCAUGUGGUUUAAUUCGAUGAUACGCGAGGAACCUUACCUGGCUCAAAUGUAUGUUGACGUAUUCUGAAAGGGAUACUUCUUCGGACAAUAUACAAGGUGCUGCAUGGUUGUCGUCAGCUCGUGCCGUGAGGUGUCGGGUUAAGUCCCAUAACGAGCGCAACCCCUAUCAUUAGUUGCCAUCAGGUCAAGCUGGGGACUCUAAUGAAACUGCCUACGCAAGUAGUGAGGAAGGUGGGGAUGACGUCAAAUCAGCACGGCCCUUACGUCCAGGGCUACACACGUGCUACAAUGGCCGGUACAAAGGGCAGCUACCUGGUGACAGGAUGCUAAUCUCAAAAGCCGGUCUCAGUUCGGAUCGGAGUCUGCAACUCGACUGCAUGAAGUUGGAAUCGCUAGUAAUCGUGGAUCAGCCAAGCCGCGGUGAAUACGUUCCCGGGCCUU
rnacentral:rRNA from 1 species